UACGAAGGGGGCUAGCGUUGUUCGGAAUUACUGGGCGUAAAGCGCGCGCAGGCGGUUCUUCAAGUCAGUGGUGAAAGCCCGGAGCUCAACUCCGGAAUUGCCAUUGAAACUGUAGAACUUGAGUACGAGAGAGGUGAGUGGAAUUCCCAGUGUAGAGGUGAAAUUCGUAGAUAUUGGGAAGAACACCGGUGGCGAAGGCGGCUCACUGGCUCGUAACUGACGCUCAGGCGCGAUAGCGUGGGGAUCAAACAGG
rnacentral:rRNA from 1 species